ACGGCUCAGUAACACGUCGGUAACCUGCCCUAUGGUCGGGAAUAGCCUCGCGAAAGUGAGGGUAAAACCUGAUAGGGAAUAAGCUCUGGAAGGAGCUCUUCCUUAAAUUCGUGCCAUAGGAUGGGCCGGCGGCGGAUUAGGUAGUUGGCGGUGUAAUGGACCACCAAGCCUACGAUCCGUAUGGGCCUUGAAAGAGGGAGCCCAGAGAAGGACACUGAGAAACUGGUCCUAGCCCCACGGGGUGCAGCAGGCGCGAAAACUUUGCAAUGCACGAAAGUGUGAUAAGGGAACUCUAAGUGCUCAUGCAUAGCAUGGGCUUUUGCCAAGAGUAGAUAUCUUGGAGAAUAAGUGGUGGGUAAGACUGGUGCCAGCCGCCGCGGUAACACCAGCGCCACAAGUGGGAGCCGCUUUUAUUGGGCCUAAAGCGUUCGUAGCAGGUUUUCUAAAUCUCUUGUGAAAUCAUCCAGCUUAACUGGAUGGCGUGCAGGAGACACUGGAAAACUAGGGACCGGGAGGAGUCAGAAGUAUUCUGGGGGGAGCGGUAAAAUGUGAUAAUCCCCAGAGGACUACCAGUGGCAAAGGCGUCUGACUAGAACGGGUCCGACUGUGAGGGACGAAAGCUAGGGGAGCAAAACGGAUUAGAUACCCGAGUAGUCCUAGCUGUAAACCCUGCGAGUUAGGCGUUGCAUAUUCCACGUGAAUGUGCAGUGUCGAAGUGAAGACGUUAAACUCGCCGCCUGGGAAGUAUGGUCGCAAGGCUGAAACUUAAAGGAAUUGGCGGGGGAGCA
rnacentral:rRNA from 1 species